rnacentral:rRNA from 1 species
GACGAACGCUGGCGGCGUGCCUAAUACAUGCAAGUCGAACGCUGAAGGAGGAGCUUGCUUCUCUGGAUGAGUUGCGAACGGGUGAGUAACGCGUAGGUAACCUGCCUGGUAGUGGGGGAUAACUAUUGGAAACGAUAGCUAAUACCGCAUAAUAGCAGUUGUUGCAUGAUAACUGUUUGAAAGGUGCAAUUGCACCGCUACCAGAUGGACCUGCGUUGUAUUAGCUAGUUGGUGGGGUAACGGCUCACCAAGGCGACGAUACAUAGCCGACCUGAGAGGGUGAUCGGCCACACUGGGACUGAGACACGGCCCAGACUCCUACGGGAGGCAGCAGUAGGGAAUCUUCGGCAAUGGACGGAAGUCUGACCGAGCAACGCCGCGUGAGUGAAGAAGGUUUUCGGAUCGUAAAGCUCUGUUGUAAGAGAAGAACGAGUGUGAGAGUGGAAAGUUCACACUGUGACGGUAUCUUACCAGAAAGGGACGGCUAACUACGUG